rfam:Oryza sativa (indica cultivar-group) chromosome 4, whole genome shotgun sequence.
CUGGAGUGUGGACAAAAACAGAAACCGCCCAGGAAUUUCAGUAUUUUCCAUCCAAUAUAAUUUUAUAAUUAGUUUUCUUCGUUGUUAUGAGAUGAUAAAAUAUGAACAAUAAUUUACUCCUGACUUAUGUUUUUAAAUUUUUUUCAAAAAAUUUUUAAAUAAGACGAACGAUCAAAGUUGGGUGCGAAAAAUCAUGGCUGCACUUAAC